AUCCUGAGUCUCCUGAAAUUUUGAAGCCUGAUGUUAUUGCUCCUGGUUUGAACAUUCUUGCUGCUUGGCCCGAUAAAAUUGGGCCCUCUGGUGUUCCUACUGACAACAGAAGAACUGAAUUUAACAUUCUUUCAGGUACUUCUAUGGCUUGUCCUCAUGUUUCUGGGUUAGCUGCCUUGUUAAAGGCUGCACACCCAGAUUGGAGCCCAGCAGCAAUAAAAUCAGCUUUGAUGACAACUGCUUAUACAGUUGAUAAUCGCGGUGAAACAAUGCUUGAUGAGUCUACAGGAAAUACUUCAACUGUGAUGGAUUUUGGUGCAGGUCAUGUUCAUCCACAGAAGGCUAUAGAUCCUGGGUUAAUCUACGAUAUAUCAACAUUUGAUUAUGUGGAUUUUCUAUGCAAUUCAAAUUACACAGUAAACAACAUUCAGGUUGUGACUAGGAAAACUGCAGAUUGCAGUGGAGCAAAAAGAGCAGGCCAUGCAGGGAACUUGAAUUACCCUUCAAUGUCCGCUGUGUUUCAACAAUAUGGGAAGCAUAAGAUGUCUACCCAUUUCAUUAGGACAGUUACUAAUGUUGGGGAUCCAAAUUCUGUGUACAAAGUUACAAUUAAGCCACCCAGUGGGACUCUGGUGACAGUGCAGCCAGAGAAGCUUGUGUUUAGGAGGGUUGGGCAAAAAUUGAGCUUCCUUGUUAGAGUGGAAACCACAGCAGUGAAGCUCUCACCUGGAGGCUCAAGCUUGAAGAGUGGUUCUAUAGUGUGGUCAGAUGGAAAGCACACUGUCACUAGUCCUAUAGUUGUGACAAUGCAGCAACCACUUUAGUUUGGUUUUUAGGAAUUUUGCUUUAUUUGCUAUUAUAGAUUUUUAUAUAUUAUCUCUAUAUGUAUAAAAGGAAUGCAUGAGGCGUUUUCUAUAUCAGAAAGCGAUUGGAGUUGAAUUUGUUAUGCAUAUGCAGAGUGAAUUAAUGUAUAAUUUUCCUAGCAAAAAGAGGUGAGAACAUGCCUGUAGAAAAUGCUGUGUUUGACUAAGAAGCACAUCAUAAUGAAAUACCUCUCUUUUUGCUAGGAAAAUUAUACAUUAA
rnacentral:misc_RNA from 1 species